CUUGCACAGGCAAGCACUGCCACCAGACAUCUUGCUUUUUAUUUCUUCUUUCACUUGUUGGGUGCAUUUCCUGAGAGUCAAGCUAUGGGAUCCCGCUCCAGGAGUGGUGCUUUUUUGCUUUUUCAGUUGGGACCACUUGGUCCUUUUUCAGUUUCAGGACAACUGUGUCCCCUUCGGGGCUAGGCCCCUGGCAACUCCCACGGGCCGAUGUGCAUCCGGAGAGGAGCUUUUUGCCAGUUUUUCACUUGCCUCACCCAUGGGAAAUGCAUAGAGGAACCUUUCUGGUUGCAGCCAACAAGCAGAUGUGUCACUCUAUCACAAGACAGAGCUCUGUGAAGGAUUCUCUGUAGAGAACUUCUCAGCACAAGGAUUUCAUUCUCCUGAGAACACGCUCAAGUGUCCAUAUGGUUCUUAAGAAGACACUGACCUCUUUGAAACCAGAACUGAACGGUCCAGUGAACUGGGGGUGACUUGUGCUUGCACAAAUUCUUUUCAACUCUGGUUCUCAGAAAGGCUAAAUGGAAAGAGUCGUUGGAAGAUUCAAAAUAGCAUCUGUCACAUUCCAAUCUUGUGAGAUAAUGCAUGGUCUUGCACAGGCAUUAGAGAGGAAGACAGAUAAUCUGGGGCUCUGUUUACUGUGAUUUAUUAGCUUCUAAAGACGCAAAGGCUAUAAAAAUAAUUCACAUCUAAGAAUUUACUGAUGUAUGUUUCUACCCUGUUGGACUCUGUUAAAUUGAAAGUAACAGUUAAAUCCUAGGAUAUGGGUGAGUACUGGAGGAAGGCCUUCCUUCUUCCAGGACUGAGCAGAGUCUGUAUUAAAAGAUUGUCGUCUUUUAACUCCUUUUGUCUAAGAGGUAAAGCAGCGUUGUCAGGAGCUUUCAGAUGGCCCACAACUUCCUACAGCCUCCUUUGGUACGCACCAGUGAAAAUUUCCCAUAAGAAUUGAGGUCAUUUUUUAACCUCUGGAAUUCUCAAUGUGUUUUCUUCAAGGCAGCUGCCUUCUUCUGAGCCUCUUAUAAAUUAGCUGUGUAUUUUCUGGGAUCAACCACAUCCUCAGAAAACGGACUGCAGCUCAUCCAGUUAACCUGACCCCUGUCUUUCCCUCUCCACAGACAGCUGUGUGAAGAGGUCUCAGGAGCAAUAACUCACAUAGAGGCUCUUCUGUGGCCCCAAAUUUGGACAUGUUUUUGCUUGAGUAUUCACUGGCUUCAGCAAUUUGGCAAAUAUAGGACAGGACUCCUAAUUCCAUGAGGUCAAAUACCAUCCCCAAACUAAAACUGAAAAAUUAACUGACUCAAGGAAAGGGCUUUGGGAUAAACCAAGUGUCCUGAGGUCACUGUCAUAGAGGCACCCUCUCUUCUCAUCACUCAUUUCCCUUGGGUGACACUUUAAUCAUGCCAUUUUCAAGGAUUUAAUAAGAAUCCCUGUCAGUAGCCCAAGUUUAAGACUUCAGGGAACACUGAAAAUUCCUGCCCUCCCUCCCAGUACAAAUGAAAUGUAAGAACAAAUAGGAUGUUAGAGACAAGAUGUGUCCUGAGGACAGCCUCAAGACAAUAGCACCUUUGGUGUAGAACAGAGACUGUAGACUGUGGACUAGGGACUAGAGAAAUGGUUCAUCAGUUAAGUGCCAUGGCUCUUCUUCCAGAGGACUCUGGAGUUUCCAGCACCCACAUGGUGGCUCACAACUGUCUGUACCUCCAGUCCUGGGGGAUCCGAUGCCCUUCUUCUGGGUCUGUAGGCACCAGACACAAACAUGGUAAACAAACACAUAUCCAGGCAAAAUACCCAUACACAUAAAAGAAAUAAACAUUUUAAAAGUAGAUUAUAGACUAAAGGCCAUGAGGGCACUGAUCAUGCUAAUUUGGUACAAUAAAAGUAUCAAAGCCAGGCAUUGGUGGCGCAUGCCUUUAAUCCCAGUACUCGGGAGGCAGAGGCAGGCAGAUCUCUGUGAGUUCGAGGCCAGCCUGGUCUCCAGAGUGCCAGGAUAUGCUCCAAAGCUACACAGAGAAACCCUGUCUCGAAAAAAAUUUAAAAAAAGUAUCAAAGUUAUGGGCUUUUGAUUUUUACUUGAGACUAGUGUAUCUAUGUGUGAAAUCAUGACGUGUAGAAUUUACUUUUAAGAAGUCCAGCAGAAAAGUCAGUGAGAUGGCUCAGUGAGUCAAGAUGGUUGCUGCCAAGACUGAGUACAAUCCCUGGGUCCCAUAUGAUAGAAGGAGAAUUGUCAUUCUCUGGCCUCAUCUACAUGCCAUGCACACCUACAAUAAAUAAAUACUGUGUUUUUGAAAUUCCAGCAUAAAAUGGUAAGAUGACAGAUGAUAUAAAAUUGGUACAGUGUUGAUACCAGAAAAUGUAAACAAAACAGUAUGAGAGCUUUUCCUAGUGUUUGGAUGAUUUUAAACAAUUAGAUUUGCACAAAAGUUGGAUGAUAAAUGCCCUGGCCCUGGAUUAUAGUUAGAGUCCUCCAGGUUCUAUAAAUGGAAAGAGAUUUGUUUGCUGUCUCUAUGACUAAAGAACAUAACUAGUUUUUCUGAGGAACAUCAGGGUCAAUUGGGAAACUUUCUGGCUAUUGGACUUUUACUUACCCUAACAAAGGCUGGGCCUCACUAAUAAUGGCCAACCUGAGAGUAGCAGCUGCCUGAAGACAAGUUGCAGCUAGGGAAGCUGCACACACAGUUCUGCCUGCAGAGAACCCAGAAUUCCUCCAUGCCACAGUGGGAGAAAGAAACUGCAAAUGCAUCGAAUUUUAAAAUGUAUGGAUAAGGAAGCUAUUUUUUAAAAUUGCAUUAAUUUGCAUAUUUACACAGGGGCAGUACAAAUGCUCUUGUACGAGUGGAGGCCAAAAGGACAGCGCUAUGGGAGUGGGGUUCUCGCUCUACCAUGUGGAGCUCAGUGAUUGAACUCAGGUAAUAAUGCUUGAUUGUAGGAGAUGCAUCUUUGUGCUCACAGAUAAGCACUAGGGGAGCCUAGGAUGUUAAACACACAGGAUUGUUCCUUCAAAAGGAAGGAAUGCAUAAACUGUUAUCCACUGCGCAUAGGCUGGGAGUCGACAUGUUUAGUAGCCUUUUGCUCUACCUGUGUGGCUAAAGACUUUUCCAGCACCAGACUCUUAGCAUAAGUUUGCUUUUCUCAGUCAAUCUAUAGAACCUAAUUUAUGGAGUUUACAAUGAGUUUCAGUAUAGUUACAUUAAAUGUGUAUUUAGCUUACUUUGCUCCUCAAGGAGAUUUAUGUUUGCUUUGUUGCAAUGCAGGAUUGAGUUAAUUAUCACCAGAAUAAAUUUUCACCAAAUCCUGUUAUGCUUAAAUAUGCCUAAAUUAACCAUUGGGGUCAGGCUCCUGAAGGUUGAACCAAUGCUUAAUACUCAAUCCUGUUGAACUUACAUCAGAAGGAUCAUGUCAUUGCAGGCUGUAUGGAGGCCUCAGGGACCCCCCACACUUAGUGACAAGUGUCUUUAUCUACUAAGCAACUCCCUGGCCUAAAAUUAUUUUAUGAUUCAAAUCUCAACAGAGAAAGUGCUACGUAUUGUUAAGGACGUGCAACAAGCAGAUGUCUGGAACAUUAGUCUGAGGAUGUUAACUGGAUCAACUAUUUUGAACAAUAUCAAAAUAGCCAGGUGGUGGUGUUGCACGCCUUUAAUCCCAGCACAGAAGCAGGCAGAUCUCUGUGAGUUCAAGGCCAGCCUAGUCUACAGAGCGAGUUCCAGGACAGGCUACAAAGCUGCAUAGAGAAACCCUGUCUCAAAAGCAAACAAACAAAAAAACCCCAAUACAUACAUACAUACAUACAUACAUACAUACAUACAUAUAUACAUACAUACACACACACACACACAAACACAUACAGCUAUGACUGAGCAAUCCCAUUUCUGUGUAUAUACCUGUGUCCAUUUAUUCUCUAGUUCAAAAACCAGAAGGGAAAACUAUACACAUGUAUGUUAGCAGAGAAAACUGAAAAACUAAGAUAUAUUUCACAACAUUGACUACUAUACAAUAAGGAAAAGAAAUAAUCCCCUCUUGCUCACAUAGUGUGAAUGCAGCUCACAAACAAUCCUUGAUGAAAGAACUAAGGCUCAAACAAGGUACAUCUUGUGAGCUACUAAUCAUUCCUUUCUGUGGAUGUAAUAAUUGGCACUUUUAAUUCUAAUGGGACAAAACAGCUUAAAAAAAAAUCAAAAGACUUAGCCAGUCAUGGUGACACAUGCCUGUAACCCCAGCACUUGGGAAGUAGAGGAAGGGGGAUCAGAAGUGCCUAUCCUAAAACAAAUGCAACCAAAACAAGAUGGCUCUCAGCAAGUAAAGUCCUUGCCACACAAGCAUAAAGACUGGAGCAUAGAGCCCCAGCACCCAUGUAAAAUGCCAGGUGGAGGUGGUGCCCUGGCCAUAAUCCCAGCACAGAAGUCAGAGACAGGCAACCUCAGAGCAAGCUGGAUAACCCAACUAGCAAACAGGGUGCUCUACGUUCAGAAAGGGACACUGGCCCAACAUAUAAGGGAGACAGAAAUCUAGGAAGACACUCAACAUCAGCCUUAGGCCUGGACACACAUGUAUACAUGCACUUGCACAUACAGGUGUGCCCCCAUACACACACACACACACACACACACACACACACACACACACACACACACACAGCACACACUUGCACAUUCAAAACCGAAACAAACAAAAAACAGAUAAUGACUUGUGUAACCAGGGUAGGUAGGCACAGUGGAAGAGACGGCAGGUGUGAUGGGAUCUAGGGUUUAGAAGGUAUUUCCUUUCUAGCUAGUCCUUCCGUAGUCUUACAGCAGUAAGAACCUGUCUCAAACAACCCUCCAAAAAAGAAUAGUGAACAAACAAUUAUAAUCAUGUCUGAAGAGGAAACAGAAAAUUUAUGAUCUUAUUAUACUUAUGAUAGUAAGUACAUUCUUUGCAAGUAAAUAGAUCAAGUGGCACUAUUUCUGUCACCAUUAUGAAUGAAAUGUGGCACUGAAGAUCAUUUUCUUCUCUAUCAGAUUUGGUCAUUAAGUUGUUACCUUGGUGGUUGACAAUACCUGACUGAGACAGAGCCAUGGGCGGGGCCUCGUUGCUGCAUAAAUAAGAGUGGAGGCUUGACAUUUCCCUUCUGUUGUUGGUCCUGUUGCCUAUGUGCUCCCUUAUCUAAUUUUUAUAAUAAUAUCUAUGUUAGACACUGCACAGGGAGCAGAGACAGAAAUCUCAGAAAUUCACCAGAUAGAUUUCCC
rnacentral:lncRNA from 1 species